UGGGGAAUAUUGGACAAUGGGCGAAAGCCUGAUCCAGCCAUGCCGCGUGUGUGAAGAAGGUCUUCGGAUUGUAAAGCACUUUAAGUUGGGAGGAAGGGCAUUAACCUAAUACGUUAGUGUUUUGACGUUACCGACAGAAUAAGCACCGGCUAACUCUGUGCCAGCAGCCGCGGUAAUACAGAGGGUGCAAGCGUUAAUCGGAAUUACUGGGCGUAAAGCGCGCGUAGGUGGUUUGUUAAGUUGGAUGUGAAAUCCCCGGGCUCUACCUGGGAACUGCAUUCAAAACUGACUGACUAGAGUAUGGUAGAGGGUGGUGGAAUUUCCUGUGUAGCGGUGAAAUGCGUAGAUAUAGGAAGGAACACCAGUGGCGAAGGCGACCACCUGGACUAAUACUGACACUGAGGUGCGAAAGCGUGGGGAGCAAACA
rnacentral:rRNA from 1 species